UACGAAGGUGGCAAGCGUUGUUCGGAUUCACUGGGCGUACAGGGUGUGUAGGCGGUUUGGUAAGCCUUCUGUUAAAGCUUCGGGCCCAACCCGGAAAGCGCAGAGGGUACUGCCAGGCUAGAGGGCGGGAGAGGAGCGCGGAAUUCCCGGUGUAGCGGUGAAAUGCGUAGAGAUCGGGAGGAAGGCCGGCGGCGAAGGCAACUCUUUAGGUCCAGACUGACGCUAAGGUACGAAAGCGUGGGGAGCAAACGGG
rnacentral:rRNA from 1 species